UCUAAGUGACGGUAUUUUCAAAUCAUGGAGUAAAAACUUGAAAACAUAAGUACUCACACUUGCGACAUGUGGCAUCUCAAGGACUGUGAGACUGACUGAGCAUUGGUUCGAUGACGUCAUCGACGGUGGCAUUACACACACACAGUUACAGUGUGUCAACUGUCACGUAACGCGGUCUUGUUGAGAGAGUGAACGCGCUUUUGAUACCGCUCGUGUUAGGUGACUUUCAAGGCUUUACUACUGCUUAUCGCUUACUUAAAUUGUCUCAUCUUCUAACUGUGGAUGACCCCUGGCAAAUAAGAAUAAGGUUUGAGUUCAAUAAUUGUGGAAGUAUCCAGGAACUACGAAGCUUAGAUUUUUCACCAGUAUUGUGAGAAAGUUGAACCUAACAAUGUGGUCGUGGAUAGCAAGGGCAGCGCUUUUCUUGGCUUUAAUAUCUGUGAUUGUGGGUCCAAGGCUUUCUUCAAAACUGACUCCAAACUGUAAACUCGAUGGUGUCUGGGAGGACGCUCAUAACUCUGAUUACUUGGUGGCAAAAUUUGUGCCAAAACAGAACACUACAAAACUGUAUUCUGAAAUCUACAUAACCUAUUAUGUUUAUAAUGGCCGUUUCAGAGGACAUGGAAUUUAUAACGGCACGAAUACUGGAGCCUACAUCACCCUAGCUAGACCUGGCUUGGGCAAGAAUCGAAAUGGAUUUAUGAUCUGUCAUAAUGGGAGACUUUUUAUUGAGGGCUUUCAUCCCUAUGAACCUCAGGCACGGAGAGUUUUUGACAAGUCUGCAUCUCCUUCUAAGCCAGAUCAAGGAGGAGCUUUGACUGGUACCAGGGUUGAAACUGAAGGUAAAGGGAACACAUCUAAAGCAACGCAGAAUGGAAUGGAACCUACAACGGAAGAUCGUCCAUCAACAGUUGCCUUUAAGUUGCAGACUUUUAAUGUUACUUGUAAGUGCACAAAUCAGAAUUUUGAUGGUGUCUGUAACUGCAUUAUUGAUUAAAACGUAGUUUCAUUCAAACUGAGGAGAAUCCAAAUUUGUAACAUCUUGGAAGAUAUAAUGUCAUGGUUGAGGUAUAUGUAUUUUUAACCUAGCAUUGAAUGAUGGUGAUAUGAUAUUUUUUUCAUCAAAAAGGUUGUUAUUUUCUGACAAGGAAACAAAGUUAAUGAAUGCCUGCUGAUGUAUCAGUACUCAAAUUCAACUCAGUUAAGUAACACGUGGACUAAAUGUUUUGUUUUCAGAAUUUUAUUUUAGCUAUAUGUGAUUAAUAGUAUGAUUCUAGAAAGUAUGAUUUCAUAUAUGAUAUGGUAACCAGAUUAUGUUGAUAUGUAUUUUUAUUGAAUGAAGAUUAUUUUAUCAUUUACUAUGGUUAUUGCUUUAAAAACUGACUUUUUUUUCUGAAAAGGAAAGAACCCCAUUUGGGCAUAAUUACUUUAGAUAUGUAAUACUAUAAACCAACUAGAGAAAAUAAAAUCAGUUCUGU